rnacentral:misc_RNA from 1 species
AAAAAAGAAAAAAAAAAGGAGCAAGGUGUAGAUUAUGUAAACACAGGAGAUUUUGGUAAUUUUCCACACUUUUAACUGUAUACAUACUAUUAUUCUUUUUCCCUCUUUCCAACUGCAUGUAAGAAGAUCUCCAUUCAGUAAAGGCUAUUUAGUGGGAUAAAAUUAUGAGAUCAGUGAUUUAUCUGUUUGAACAUAAAAGAUAAAAUUCAUGAACAUAGUUAUCUGAAUGGGGGACAAUGAGACAUUUCAGCACUUUCUGCAUGGAAGUGAUGUAUUUGUGAUUGCCAUGGUGGACAUACCAGAAUUUUUUUUUAUACCAUUUCUACAUGAUGGGCGCUCUAAAUUGUAAUUUGUUUUCCAUUAGAUGGAUAAAAUUUGAUAUUUUUCUAAGAUAGCUGGUUUCAAUGUUUUCCAGGUGAAUAUUUUCCUAAAGCUUAU